rnacentral:hammerhead_ribozyme from 1 species
AUCCAGCUGACGAGACCCAAAUAGGACGAAACGCACGUCAUAAAU